rnacentral:rRNA from 1 species
GAUGAACGCUAGCGGGAGGCCUAAUACAUGCAAGUCGAACGGUAACAGGGUAGCAAUACCGCUGACGAGUGGCGCACGGGUGAGUAACACGUACACAACCUGCCUUAUACUGGGGCAUAGCCUUGGGAAACUAAGAUUAAUUCCCCAUAACAUUGCGGAACGGCAUCGUUUUGCAAUUAAAAUUACGAUGGUAUAAGAUGGGUGUGCGUCUGAUUAGCUAGUUGGUGAGGUAACGGCUCACCAAGGCAACGAUCAGUAACUGGUCUGAGA